GACGAACGCUGGCAGCGUGCUUAACGCAUGCAAGUCGAACGGAAAGGCCCUGCUUGCAGGGUGCUCGAGUGGCGAACGGGUGAGUAACACGUGGGUGAUCUGCCCCUUACUUUGGGAUAAGCCUGGGAAACUGGGUCUAAUACUGGAUAGGACCAUGCUGUAGGUGGUGUGGUGGAAAGAUUAGUUUCGGUAAGGGAUGAGCUCGCGGCCUAUCAGCUUGUUGGUGGGGUAAUGGCCUACCAAGGCGUCGACGGGUAGCCGGCCUGAGAGGGUGGACGGCCACAUUGGGACUGAGAUACGGCCCAGACUCCUACGGGAGGCAGCAGUGGGGAAUAUUGCACAAUGGGCGCAAGCCUGAUGCAGCGACGCCGCGUGGGGGAUGACGGCCUUCGGGUUGUAAACUCCUUUCAGCCAUGACGAAGCCCUUGUGGUGACGGUAGUGGUAGAAGAAGCACCGGCUAACUACGUG
rnacentral:rRNA from 1 species